rnacentral:rRNA from 1 species
UGGGGAAUAUUGGUCAAUGGGCGAGAGCCUGAACCAGCCACGUCGCGUGAAGGAAGACUGACCUUACGGUUUGUAAACUUCUUUUGUAGAGGGGUAAUGGCAGAUACGUGUAUUUGCGUGAAAGUACUCUACGAAUAAGCAUCGGCUAACUCCGUGCCAGCAGCCGCGGUAAUACGGGGGAUGCGAGCGUUAUCCGGAAUUAUUGGGUUUAAAGGGUGCGCAGGUGGCUAAUCAGGUCAGUGGUGAAAAGCUAUGGCUCAACCAUGGUCUUGCCAUUGAAACCGUAUAGCUAGAGAGGAGACGAGGUAGGCGGAAUGUGUGGUGUAGCGGUGAAAUGCAUAGAUAUCACACAGAACUCCGAUUGCGAAGGCAGCUUACCAGGCUUUAUCUGACACUUAGGCACGACAGCGUGGGGAUCAAACAGG